rnacentral:pre_miRNA from 1 species
AAUCUACUCCCUCCAUCUGGAAAUACUUGUCGGAGAAAUGGAUGUAUCUAGACGUAUUUUAAUUCUAGAUACAUCCGUUUUUAUGCAUUUCUUCGACAAGUAUUUUCGGACGAAGGGAGUACUUU